GUUGAGAGGAAUAUUGUCUGGCUCGAGGUCAUGAAGGAGUAUAUUGGUGAAAUCUUUGAGGAAUUUAUACCCUCUAACUCUAACCCUAAAUGAUUCUCGGACCAGGCUUUAUUCCUUCCAAC